rnacentral:misc_RNA from 1 species
GACUACACUUCCUCCAUCUUUCCAUACUUCGAACACUGGAGAAAACAAUACGGUCUAAUAUACACAUAUUCGACCGGGUUUAGGCAGCAUUUGUAUGUGAACGACCCAGAGAUGGUGAAGGAAAUGAACCUGUCUCUCAGUUUGGACUUUGGGAAGCCUACUUAUAUGACCAAAAGACUUGGACCCAUGCUUGGAAACGGCAUUAUCAGGUCCAAUGGCCAGGUUUGGGCUCAACAGCGCAAAAUUAUUGCUCCUGAAUUCUUCAUGGACAAGGCCAAG